rnacentral:rRNA from 1 species
UACGAAGGGGGCUAGCGUUGUUCGGAAUUACUGGGCGUAAAGCGCACGUAGGCGGAUUUGUAAGUCAGGGGUGAAAUCCCGGGGCUCAACCUCGGAACUGCCUUUGAUACUGCAAAUCUCGAGUCCGGAAGAGGUGAGUGGAAUUCCUAGUGUAGAGGUGAAAUUCGUAGAUAUUAGGAAGAACACCAGUGGCGAAGGCGGCUCACUGGUCCGGUACUGACGCUGAGGUGCGAAAGCGUGGGGAGCAAACAGGG